rnacentral:rRNA from 1 species
GCAUUGGGGGAGCUUACACAUGCAGUCGAGCGGGGAAUGUAGCUUGCUACUUACCUAGCGGCGGACGGGUGAGUAAUGCUUAGGAAUCUGCCUAUUAGUGGGGGACAACAUCUCGAAAGGGAUGCUAAUACCGCAUACGUCCUACGGGAGAAAGCAGGGGACCUUCGGGCCUUGCGCUAAUAGAUGAGCCUGAGUCGAAUUCACUAGUUGGUGGGGUAAAGGCCUACCAAGGCGACGAUCUGUAGCGGGUCUGAGAGCAUGAUCCGCCACACUGGGACUGAGACACGGCCCAGACUCCUACGGGAGGCAGCAGUGGGGAAUAUUGGACAAUGGGGGGAACCCUGAUCCAGCCAUGCCGCGUGUGUGAAGAAGGCCUUUUGGUUGUAAAGCACUUUAAGCGAGGAGGAGGCUACCGAGAUUAAUACUCUUGGAUAGUGGACGUUACUCGCAGAAUAAGCACCGGCUAACUCUGUGCCAGCAGCCGCGGAAAUACAGAGGGUGCAAGCGUUAAUCGGAUUUACUGGGCGUAAAGCGCGCGUAGGUGGCCAAUUAAGUCAAAUGUGAAAUCCCCGAGCUUAACUUGGGAAUUGCAUUCGAUACUGGUUGGCUAGAGUAUGGGAGAGGAUGGUAGAAUUCCAGGUGUAGCGGUGAAAUGCGUAGAGAUCUGGAGGAAUACCGAUGGCGAAGGCAGCCAUCUGGCCUAAUACUGACACUGAGGUGCGAAAGCAUGGGGAGCAAACAGGAUUAGAUACCCUGGUAGUCCAUGCCGUAAACGAUGUCUACUAGCCGUUGGGGCCUUUGAGGCUUUAGUGGCGCAGCUAACGCGAUAAGUAGACCGCCUGGGGAGUACGGUCGCAAGACUAAAACUCAAAUGAAUUGACGGGGGCCCGCACAGCGGUGGAGCAUGUGGUUAAUUUCGAUGCAACGCGAAGAACCUUACCUGGUCUGACAUAGU